rnacentral:rRNA from 1 species
AAUGCCAAAAGUGAAGACAGCUAACUACUACUAAUCUGACGGUAAGGGACGAAAGCAUAGGUAUCAAAUAGGAUUAGAUACCCUAGUAGUCUAUGCUGUAAAUGAUGUAUGCUAAGUGUUGGUCUAUUUUGAUCAGUACUGAACCUAACGGGAUAAGCAUGCCGCCCGGGAAGUAUAGUCGCAAGACCGAAACUCAAAAGGAUAGGCGGGGGAACAUACAAGCAGUGGAUUAUCUCGAUUAAUUGGAUAAUAAACCAAGAAUCUUACCCGGGUUUGACAUCCUUGGAAUCUUGUAGAAAUAUGAGAGUGUCCGCCUUGUGCGGAAGCCAAGAGACAGGUGCUGCAUGGCCGUCGUCAGCUCGUGCCACAAGGUGUUCGGUUAAUUCCGAUAACGAGCGCAACCCUUGUACUUAGUUAGAAAUGUCUAAGUAAACUGCCUGGGUAACCAGGAGGAAGGAGAGGACGACGUCAGGUCAUCAUGGCCCUUAUGUCCGGGGCAUCAGAGGUAAUACAAUGAGUUGAAACAAACUGAAGCGAAGGGGCGACCUGGAGCAAAUCGGAUAAAACAGCUCUAAGUACGGAUUGUAGUCUGGAACUGACUAUAUGAAGUUGGAAUUGCGUAGUAAUGGUGGGUCAGAAAACCGCGUGAA